rnacentral:rRNA from 1 species
UACGUAAGGGGCAAGCGUUGUCCGGAUUUAUUGGGCGUAAAGAGCGUGUAGGCGGUUAGGUAGGUCCGUUGUGAAAACUCGAGGCUCAACCUCGAGACGCCGAUGGAAACCAUCUGACUAGAGUCCGGAAGAGGAGAGUGGAAUUCCUGGUGUAGCGGUGAAAUGCGCAGAUAUCAGGAGGAACACCGAUGGCGAAGGCAGGUCUCUGGGCAUUAACUGACGCUGAGGAGCGAAAGCGUGGGGAGCAAACAGG